CCCAACUAUCCCUAUUAAUCAUUACGUAGAUCCUAGAAACCAACAAAAUAGGAUCAAUCGUCCUAUUUCAUUAUUCCAUGCUAAUGUAUUCAAGCGUUAGCCUGCUUUAAACACUCUAAUUUUUUCAAAGUAACAGUUCCGAUUCCUUGCGACACCAAAUUAAUGACAUCACGGCUCCUCGGAAAGGAGGAACCAACAAAACCAGUACGUACCGUAGGCACGACCAGCAAAUUGAUCCCGAAAUUCAACUACGAGCUUUUUAACUGCAGCAACUUUAAUAUACGCUAUUGGAGCUGGAAUUACCGCGGCUGCUGGCACCAGACUUGCCCUCCAA
rnacentral:misc_RNA from 1 species